GACGUAGGGCGCGAGCGUUGUCCGGAUUUAUUGGGCGUAAAGAGCUCGUAGGCGGUUUGUCGCGUCUGCUGUGAAAACUCAGGGCUUAACCCUGAGCCUGCAGUGGGUACGGGCAGACUAGAGUGUGGUAGGGGAGAUCGGAAUUCCUGGUGUAGCGGUGGAAUGCGUAGAUAUCCGAAAGAACACCGGUGGCGAAGGCGGUGGUCUGGGCCUGAACUGACGCUGAGGAGCGAAAGCCAGGGGAGCAAACGGG
rnacentral:rRNA from 1 species